rnacentral:tRNA from 1 species
GUCAGUGUGGCCGAGGGUCAAGGCGCCAGACUCGAAAUCUGAUACGCUCGCGUGCAGUCUUUUCGCUGACG